UGGGGAAUAUUGCACAAUGGGCGCAAGCCUGAUGCAGCCAUGCCGCGUGUAUGAAGAAGGCCUUCGGGUUGUAAAGUACUUUCAGCGAGGAGGAAGGCGUUGUGGUUAAUAACCGCAGCGAUUGACGUUACUCGCAGAAGAAGCACCGGCUAACUCCGUGCCAGCAGCCGCGGUAAUACGGAGGGUGCAAGCGUUAAUCGGGAUUACUGGGUGUAAAGCGCACGCAGGCGGUCUGUCAAGUCGGAUGUGAAAUCCCCGGGCUCAACCUGGGAACUGCAUCCGAAACUGGCAGGCUAGAGUCUUGUAGAGGGGGGUAGAAUUCCAGGUGUAGCGGUGAAAUGCGUAGAGAUCUGGAGGAAUACCGGUGGCGAAGGCGGCCCCCUGGACAAAGACUGACGCUCAGGUGCGAAAGCGUGGGGAGCAAACA
rnacentral:rRNA from 1 species